AUGGAGAUGGCCCCUCUGGAGCCAGAGCCUGGUCCUGAAGAGGUGGGACCAGGGUCCAGAGGCCAGGCUAGGGAUGGGUGCUGCACCGCACCGCCUUGCAGGGGGCAACGGCCACCCCCUCAGAGCUGCGGAGAGGGAGGUGCUCAUGCACUUGGCCCCCUGCUCCUGAACCGCCCCCCAGCUCUGCCCCACUCUCUGGCUCUCUCUUCAGACCGAGACAUGGCUCGGGAGCCCAAGCCUGGUCCUGCCCGGCCGGGCCAGAAGAGGCCCUGGGGCACAGCCAUCUCCUGCUACUACGAUCUGGAUUACGAGCUGUACAGGGAAGAAUUCCCCUACAGGGUGUGUGACUAUCAAAGGAUCCCUCCACUAAUCAACCGUGCACCUACCAAGAUCCGGGGGACCCACGUGGGCCCGGGGGUCAAGCACAGCUUUAGUCCCCACAAGACUCCCAGGACUAGUCAACUGCCUGCAGGGCAGAUAAAGCUCCAGACUGAGGAGCUGCACUCCAUCAGAGGAGAGCUGAGCCAGAUCAAAGCCCAGGUGGAUCACCUGCUGGAGACUGUGGACCGCAUGGACCAGCAGAUGGACCAGCUUCCAGGGACGGAGGACUGCGAACAGAACCGGAGCUCCAGGAGUAAGGGUCCCUCAUACAGAACCGUAGAACCUCAUCAGGAGCCUACAGGCCAGAGGACCCAUCCAGAGGCAGACAGCUCCCCGAUCACAGACCCAGAAGACCCCAAGGAGGCAGUAAAGAAUCACGCAUCAGACCAGGAGGGCAGCCAGUAGAAGGCUGGAACUCCCCCAGUCUCAUCAGCUCCAGGCACUUUCUUCGGCGGUUCCUAUCCCCUGCCUUGAGUAGCACCCACGCUGGAGCAAGCGCAAAGAAGUGGAGGCAUGGCUCAGCCAGUCCAGCUGGGAAGCCUCCCCCCAGUGCUGACUUUAGCUUGAGGAUCAUGUUUCCAGAUGACCAUCUGGGGGCUAGCGGGGAAGGAAGGAGCCCUCCAAGUGCCCAGCACCAGCUCACCAUUCUCAUAAAGCUGAGGCCACUCCUGUUAAGAGGCAGCUGGAAAGGGCCCCCCUGGGAGCACCACCAGCCCUCUGACUACAGGUACCUCCCUAGCUGCUUCUCCCCGCCCCUCGCCAAAGCCUUACCUGUCCUCUCUGGGUCUCAGCAGGAGUAUCACUUUUAUGUUGUUUCUACCUUGUCUCUUGCUGGUGUGAUCUUACAUAUUUCAGAUCUGCUUUGGAAAAAUAUGUCACUGAGGAGAAAUAAAAUUUUAUUUCUUUUCCCUGGUCAGGGGUCCUUAGUGUAGUCUCAAAGCCUCACUACAGUCUCUCAACUGCCCCUUUCUAGAGAAGCUGAGCAGGCCUCGGAGACACACAAGCUCAGAAGCUCACACCAAGUCAGGGC
rnacentral:lncRNA from 1 species